rnacentral:rRNA from 1 species
CCUACGGGAGGCAGCAGUGAGGAAUAUUGGUCAAUGGACGAGAGUCUGAACCAGCCAAGUAGCGUGAAGGAUGACUGCCCUAUGGGUUGUAAACUUCUUUUAUAUGGGAAUAAAAUGUUCCACGUGUGGGAUUUUGUAUGUACCAUAUGAAUAAGGAUCGGCUAACUCCGUGCCAGCAGCCGCGGUAAUACGGAGGAUCCGAGCGUUAUCCGGAUUUAUUGGGUUUAAAGGGAGCGUAGGUGGAUUGUUAAGUCAGUUGUGAAAGUUUGCGGCUCAACCGUAAAAUUGCAGUUGAAACUGGCAGUCUUGAGUACAGUAGAGGUGGGCGGAAUUCGUGGUGUAGCGGUGAAAUGCUUAGAUAUCACGAAGAACUCCGAUUGCGAAGGCAGUUCACUGGACUGCAACUAACACUGAGGCUCGAAAGUGUGGGUAUCAAACAGGAUUAGAUACCCCAGUAGUC